rfam:Schistosoma mattheei strain Denwood, Zambia genome assembly, scaffold: SMTD_scaffold0022787
AUUCAACUGACGAGUCACAAAUAGGACGAAACGCGUGUCUUGGAU